ensembl:miRNA
ACACCCAACUCUCCUGGCUCUAGCAGCACAGAAAUAUUGGCACUGGGUAGCAAGUCUGCCAAUACUGGCUGUGCUGCUCCAGACAGGGUAGUGA